UACGGAGGGUGCAAGCGUUAUCCGGAUUUACUGGGUUUAAAGGGUGCGCAGGCGGAUAUGUAAGUCAGUGGUGAAAUCUCUAGGCUUAACCUGGAAAUUGCCGUUGAUACUAUAUAUCUUGAAUGCUGUGGAGGUAAGCAGAAUAUGUCAUGUAGCGGUGAAAUGCUUAGAUAUGACAUAGAAUACCUAUUGCGAAGGCAGCUUACUACGCAGAUAUUGACGCUCAUGCACGAAAGCGUGGGUAGCAAACAGG
rnacentral:rRNA from 1 species